rnacentral:rRNA from 1 species
GUGCCAGCAGCCGCGGUAAUACGGAGGAUCCGAGCGUUAUCCGGAUUUAUUGGGUUUAAAGGGAGCGUAGGCGGACGCUUAAGUCAGUUGUGAAAGUUUGCGGCUCAACCGUAAAAUUGCAGUUGAUACUGGGUGUCUUGAGUACAGUAGAGGCAGGCGGAAUUCGUGGUGUAGCGGUGAAAUGCUUAGAUAUCACGAAGAACUCCGAUUGCGAAGGCAGCUUGCUGGACUGUAACUGACGCUGAUGCUCGAAAGUGUGGGUAUCAAACAGGAUUAGAUACCCUGGUAGUCCACACAGUAAACGAUGAAUACUCGCUGUUUGCGAUAUACAGUAAGCGGCCAAGCGAAAGCGUUAAGUAUUCCACCUGGGGAUACGCCGGCAACGGUGAAACUUAAAUGAAUUGACGGG